GCCCAGGUAGCUCAGAUGGUAGAGCAGAGGACUGAAAAUCCUCGUGUCGGUGGUUCGAUUCCGCCCCUGGGCACCA
rnacentral:tRNA from 2 species